GGGGAAGGAUACAUAGGAGUUUGAUCCUGGCUCGAGAUCUGGUAUUGAGUGGCGCUUGCAUCAUGAUUUACAUUUGAGUGAGUGGCGAACUGGUGAGUAACACGUGGGAAACCUGCCCAGAAGCGGGGGAUAACACCUGGAAACAGAUGCUAAUACCGCAUAACAACUUGGACCGCAUGGUCCGAGUUUGAAAGAUGGCUUCGGCUAUCACUUUUGGAUGGUCCCGCGGCGUAUUAGCUAGAUGGUGGGGUAACGGCUCACCAUGGCAAUGAUACGUAGCCGACCUGAGAGGGUAAUCGGCCACAUUGGGACUGAGACACGGCCCAAACUCCUACGGGAGGCAGCAGUAGGGAAUCUUCCACAAUGGACGAAAGUCUGAUGGAGCAACGCCGCGUGAGUGAAGAAGGGUUUCGGCUCGUAAAACUCUGUUGUUAAAGAAGAACAUAUCUGAGAGUAACUGUUCAGGUAUUGACGGUAUUUAACCAGAAAGCCACGGCUAACUACGUGCCAGCAGCCGCGGUAAUACGUAGGUGGCAAGCGUUGUCCGGAUUUAUUGGGCGUAAAGCGAGCGCAGGCGGUUUUUUAAGUCUGAUGUGAAAGCCUUCGGCUCAACCGAAGAAGUGCAUCGGAAACUGGGAAACUUGAGUGCAGAAGAGGACAGUGGAACUCCAUGUGUAGCGGUGAAAUGCGUAGAUAUAUGGAAGAACACCAGUGGGCGAAGGCGGCUGUCUGGUCUGUAACUGACGCUGAGGGCUCGAAAGUAUGGGUAGCAAACAGGAUUAGGAUACCCUGGUAGUCCAUACCGUAAACGAUGAAUGCUAAGUGUUGAGAGGGUUUCCGCCCUUCAGUGCUGCAGCUAACGCAUUAGGCAUUCCGCCUGGGGGAGUACGGCCGGCAAGGCUGAACUCAAAGGAAUUGACGGGGGGCCCCGCACAGCGGGUGGAGCAUGGUGGGUUUAUUUCGAAGCUGACGGCGGAAGAAGCCUAACCAGUCUAUGACAUACUAUGGCAAAUCUAGAAGAUUAGCGUUCCCCUUCCGGGACAUAGGAUACAGGUGAUGCAUGGUUGGUCAUCACUCUGUCCGAGAAAAG
rnacentral:rRNA from 1 species